UAGUAAGAAAGCAGGCCAAGUGGAGACAAAAACAGCCUUGAAUUUCCAGCCUCCAGCUUGGUCAAUCUGUUACUAAUUAACAUCUCAGACAACAAUGAUUUUUUCCUCUGUUUUCUAUACAAACAGUUUCUCAUAGUUGAAACACAGGGCUCAGAAGGUGUGCUGAUGUCUAUUCUGAAUGCUUUGAAAGCAAAGAAAAGCAUGUUGCGGAGUGUUGGUGAGGAGUAUCUGUGCAAACUGAGAUGUUUGAUAGCAUAUUGGAAAUGGCUGGACACGGGUUAUCCAAGGCUGGAACAACAGUUGGACCAGAAGCCCCAGACUGAGGUGAAAUCUGCAGCCGCGUCUCACAUCCUGAAUCAUUGCUGACAAUGAUUGGAUGGUAUGAUGGAUGAUGGGCCUUCUGGGAAUGUGUUGGCUAAUGAAACAUGGCAAUCAGUUUUAUCAAACCUUUGUACAGCUUCACCCGAGGGAAAUCACAUAACUCAGCCGUGACACCAGCAGCAGAUUUCCCAGAGGGCUGCUUAUAAAACAACAGUAAAACCUGAUAUUUAUUACAUCUACAAUUUGCAAUUUCACGCUGAACCCUCCAGCCUGUGGAACCCAUUCAUCCCAGGAAAAGAGCACCCAUGAGGAAGCCAUUUCUGAGCUAUGCAUCUGCAAUGGCAUCGAAAGCAUCAGAGCCACAAUUCCAAUAGCUGGAGGCAUCUCGUCACACGCUGGGCUGCUCAGGCUGGCCAUUAGCAUCGCCAAGGGAUCCUGGCUGGUUCUUCCAGCCUGACUCACAAAACACCUGCAAGCUGAGGAUCUCUAAAGUUUGCAGAGAGAAAAACAAGAGCUAUGAACUAUUCCAUUAAAAAGCUUGCAGCCAAGUCUUUAGACGGACUAUAGAAGGACAAGGAGGCCUGUAGAAGCCAGAGGAGGUUUGGGCUCAGGAGAAAGUGGAAGCUGUUGUGCUAAAACUUCAGGAUGUUCCUUGGCACUUUUCGGAAGGCUGUCUUGAUUCACUACCAAUGGCUGCAGAAAAAGGACCAACUCCAAGUCACUGUGGGUUCUAGUCCUGGCCUGACGAGUUCACUGCCUCUUUGACCUCGAGCAAGUCAGGCAUUUGUUCCUUUGUAAUCUUAGCUAUUCAGAUUGCUGGCAUUUUAUAAUAACAGACACGCUUACUCUGUAAGUCACAGAUGACAGGAGGGAUUGGGUAAAUCUCCUUAAACGCAAAGGAGUAAGAGAUGGUGCAAAGAACUUGCAUCAAGACUGUAUGAUACCGUUUGUUGAAAAAGACAGUUUCAGUUAUACCUUGUAAAAAAUAACUUAAACAUUCUGGUAGCAUCAAAACAUCUUUGGAAACUGAAGGAAUCAUUUCUAU
rnacentral:lncRNA from 1 species